UCCGCAAUAGCUCAGCUGGUAGAGCGCAUGACUGUUAAUCAUGAUGUCGUAGGUUCGAGCCCUACUUGCGGAG
rnacentral:tRNA from 5 species